ensembl:lncRNA
UACCUCAGUGCUUUGCUGCUUUUAGCACUCUUGGGACAUGGGGAAAUAAUGUUGAGGCUGCACCUCAGUGCUCAGCUCAACAUGGGGGCCCCUCACUGCUGCUCACCCUUAGGUGGAAGUGUAAGGACUGGGUCAGUGCUGAGAAGGUAGGAGCCAUGCAGCAGAGCUUACUUGUUGCAAGGUUGUGUGAAGGCUGGAGGGGACAAUGGGGGCAGUAUGGUGAUCUCCUGGAGGUGCUUUCACUCCUUUGCACUAGGUCAAUUCAAUGUACUCAAAUAGGCACCCACUGCCCCAUACCUGUAACGGCUUUAACCUCUCAGUGCAUCUCUUCAAGAGGAGUUUGCUCAGCUUCCAUGCAAUGAAGGCAGAAAGACACCUCCAAAUUAGGAAGUAUGUCUGCUACUGAACCUGAUGGAAUACAUGCCUGAUACCCAGAGGAGACGUCAUUCUUCAAUGUUUGCCCCAGGUUGCCCAGCAAGUCAGUGGCAGAACAUGGAUUUCAACCUACAUCUCCCAUAGUCUGUGCCAGGGCUUUUGCAGUUUCAGUUCUUUCAGCUCCUGUAGUCUGCUGUUGGCAUGCAAACUUGAGCUCGCCUGGUUACAAUUCCUCACAUUGUUUGCAGUGUCUUGGCCAAAGAAAAUGAAAGCAGUCUUUUCAUGAUUCCAAUGCAAAACCAUAGGCUGGUUGGGGGAGGUGGGAAAGGCAUCGCUGCACAGGCUGACUUUUUAGCCUUAAAAAGAGGAAUAUAAGAGAUGCCACAAGUGGUCAAAAGAAAGAAAAUAAGGAAUACUUUGUUACUCUCAGAAUGCACAUACUAGAGGGUAAUUAAUUAAAUUGUCCAGUGGAAAACUCCAAACAUAGAAUCAUAGAAUUUCUUAGGUUGGAAAAGACCUAAAGAUCAUCAAGUCCAACCAAGUCCAACGUGUUGAAGAUGUUUCCUUCCAUGUUGUCAGUUGGUGAAGCCCACUGCCACAAGAUGUUUUUACACUGAAAUUUUACACGUGCUCAGGAAAGUAAACAGAAAAGGUUAAGAAAGAAAAAUACAGUAGAGCAAAUUAACAUGACAAUGCCAUUUCUAGCUCAAGAAAACCAUGCACUACAAACUACUGGGGGAAUAGACACUGGAAGCAUCAAUAUCUGCCUGGAUUCUCUCCUGGUCUUGAAACACUGGAUUAGAAAUAACUGCUGUUGGUGUCUUAAAGGCUGAGUUAACAAAGGGCCCAUGGUACCCACACUGCAAAAUGAAAGACCCAGGUGCAGCACCAGCCUUUACACAGCAUGCAAUAUGAAUAACUCUAAAAAUCCUACUAGGCUGAGCUGACUUUGCCUUGGAGAGAUGAUUUGGCUUUAAGUACUUUUUCUGGCAGAGUCUAAGAGAAGUGGGUGCUGCAAAGAUAUCUUUAAACCAGCCGCCUCCACCAUGUCCCUCAAAAAGGAAAAUAAUCCCUCCUGUGCACAAAUCACCAUGGGAGGAAUCCCUGAAGUCUUCACACCCAUCCAGCAGAGAGCACUGAAUUCAUUGUUCCCUUUUUUCGAGGCAUUCCCAUCAGUUGGGUAACUCAGGUAACGAGUUUGCCAUCUGAUGGUUUCUCAGUGUAUUAUUUCACAGUGCACUUAGCCUCAGUGGUUCUGAAUGAGCUGAUUUAUUACUUUUAUCUAAGUUUUGGUCCCUGUUAUCUGUCAUAUCAUUCAGCUCCUUGAUAGGGGUUUUAAGAAAAAGAUUGAGAAAUCAGUUACAACUUGCAAAGGUCUGAAUCUUGUCUGGAAUGGAUGAAGAGCAUGCAUAUGUGUGCAUAUUGCUAUGUGUUGAUUAUGAUGUUGCUGGGGUGAGCUGGUACAAAAUCAGAAUUGGGAACGGAGC